rfam:Hordeum vulgare subsp. vulgare, WGS project CAJW01000000 data, contig: morex_contig_1537730
CCGACCCGUCUUGAAACACGGACCAAGGAGUCUGACAUGCGUGCGAGUCGACGGGUUUUGAAACCUGGGAUGCGCAAGGAAGCUGACGAGCGGGAGGCCCUCACGGGCCGCACCGCUGGCCGACCCUGAUCUUCUGUACAGGGUUCGAGUUGGAGCACGCCUGUCGGGACCCGAAAGAUGGUGAACUAUGCCUGAGCGGGGCGAAGCCAGAGGAAACUCUGGUGGAGGCUCGAAGCGAUACUGACGUGCAAAUCGUUCGUCUGACUUGGGUACAGGGGCGAAAGACUAAUCGA